ACCAAGAGCUUUGAAACUACUAGUGUAUUGCUGCUGAAAAUGACGUCUAAUGUCAUGGUUGUAAGAUUGCUGUUGGUUUCAUUGGCUGUAGGUGGAUGGAUGCAAGCUCUAUCCAGGAGAAGACACUGCACCAGUUCUAUUGAACAUAAAAUAUUCAUUGUCGCGAGAUCAAGAAGCUGUUGAGAUUCAGAAACAUUUUAGAAAGGACACGACAGUUGGAGAGAUGAAGAUUAUGUUGUGCAACUCUGUUGGAAUUGAUGAUCAAGAUCUGCUCCUCAGUUGGGUGAAGUCAAAAGGUAAAACCAGUGAGGUUGUACCACUGAACUCUUUUCAGGAUGGCCACGCAAUAAACGAGGUCGGCCUUCAAGAUGGUGACCUUCUGGUUGCCGAGAAAGCAAUUCAAAUGCAAUCCAGUGUCGUAAAUGGAAGCUUAAUACCUAGUUUGGCUUCUCAAGAGAAUGAGAAACAUUCCAGCAUGAUGUCGUUUGUGGUUGAGUGUAGGUGUUUGGCGGCAGAGUCCGAGGAACAGAGUCACAAUGACAGAAGCAACUGUUGGCCAGUUUAUCCUGUCAAAAUUCACAAAGAGCAGACCAUUGGGGAUCUCAAGACCCAAGUGCUGUCACAUGCAGGCUUUCAGACCAUGCAAGGUUAUGAUACUUUGAAAUAAACAGUUAGACUGUUGAGAUGGUGAUGAUCAUUGCCAUGUUGUCGACAUUGAGUGAUAUUACUUGACAAGACUGAGAUUCGUAACGGCAGCUUUGGAUUCGUGAGGCUAUGAAAAUGUCGUUAACACUCAGUGUUUUGCCUAGGCAAUUAAGCCAUUCUUCUUAGCCAAGGGGCUGACCAGGUGAAGUCUGUUUCCGAAGUUAAAUAAAGUGACGAUGAACCAGUGCCGGCGUACAGAAUUUCUGGAAACACAGAAUGUUGAAUGAUAUUGUUAGACGAUAGUAGAGAGCAGUUUUCAAAUUACUUGCCAAUUAGACUACUCAGCCAGUCUCAAACCGUAGUAAAACCAAAAUCAAAACCAAAGCAAUUGCCUGAUUACUUUCCACACUCAAUUGACAACCGCUCUAAACAGUCUGCCGUAUAAACCCCUCAUUUAAAAUACCUUCACUUAUAUCAUAUAUUGGUAUUUUUUCUUUUAUCGUAGAAU